rnacentral:lncRNA from 1 species
CGGUGAGAGAGAGAGAGAGAGAGAGAGAGAGAGGAACGCAACCUUCGGGCGAAGCGGGCGAAGCGGAGGGCGUCAUGCGUGCGGCCAAGAACACCAGCGAAGAGGGACGAGUCGAGCGAGCGCGCGCGGUCCGUGACGAGCAGGAUGGGGUUGUGAUCAGCACGUGCCCAGGAAAGGAGGAGGAAGGCGCCGACGAGGAGCAAGAGGAAACGAGCAGCCGCCAUUGGUCGUCGGAGAACCCACGAGAGAGAGAGAGGCUUUCGGCUUGGGGGGGCCUUUAUAGAUCCAAAAGCAUCCAUUCCUAGGGAUGUCGCAUUCGCUGACAUAUGCAGCCACCACCAAUCAGGGACAUUGCCCUUCCGAUCAGAAUUCCUAUGACUUGGAAUAUAAGCGAUCGAGUGGUGGAUGGAUGUUCACCUCCGAAUGCAGAUGAAGUAAGAAUGGACGAGCUUUGAUGGAUGCAAAAGGUUCCAUUGUCUCAUCAUGAAGAGAUAUUUUGGUGGAGGAUAGGAGACGGAGUGGAGUAAUUAUUGUUGGUCCGAUCGGAACACAAGAUUUUUAUUGUGGGAAUCUGAGACUUGAUGCCGGGUUUUGGGUGUUCAUACCAUCCUGCCAUGUGCAGUAUGAGAUCUGUGCACCGUUAAGUCAACAAAGAAAAUAAAUAAAUAAAUCUUAUUUAUUUAUUUUCUUAUCUAAUUAAUUAAUUCGAUUUUGAUUCGAAUCGAAUCAUGAUCAUAAUAAUAUUAAUUAUUGUUAUCGGGAAAGAAAGUUGAGUGGUUAUUAUAAUGACAUCCUUUACCUCCUUCUUCUUAGUAGGGCCCGAUUCAUGAUUACAAAGUCCUCUCCAAUAGCAUGAUUACACCUCAUAGAUCAUUUACUUCCUGAUAAUGAAAGACUAUUAUUAGCAUUAAAAAAGGGCAACUAUUAUGUUUGUUUGUGACAUCAAUAUAUUAUUUUAUUGAAAAUAUACUCAUCAGUGUAUUAGACUAAAUUAGGAUGUUAAGUGAUAGGGGUAAUAAUGGCGACAUGACGUGUCACGACGUCGGCCUCACCUGGGCGCCACUCUGCCCGAGGAGGAGGGCAAUAAUGCUGACUCGACACGCGCUGACGUCAUCCGCUCUCAGACAACGACUUCAUCGUUGUCUGACCCCGCGCGCUUGACUGAGGUAGAGGAGGACGACGACCGACCCUCGCCCAUACCCUACGGCAAUUCGGUUCUCCACGCAACGUCAAUAGCAAUGUCAGACACCAUCAGAGGUACGAUUCUGCCUCCCGCAGGCAGGCACAUCAGGUAAUACUAAACUGCUCUAUAAAUACCCCCGAGUUCUAAACGAGGAGGGGGACACUUCUUCACUAAAAAACUCCCUCCACAUCAUCUGACUUGAUCGUCGGAGGGGUCAGGUCGAGCUUCCGACCCGACCUGUGUGUAGGAACGAAGGCGAGGUCGUACCUUCCCGGCGUCGCGGCGAGGCUUCACUCCCACGCUACAUCCCGUCCGGACCAUCGUGACCGGCCAUCCCAGCUGCCCCGAGGAGCGUCGCGCCGGAUCCUCGCGCAUUCGGACCCGAACCAAGCCGCGUCGGCCCCGAGGCCACAGCAUACAAUUGUUUCCCGCAACAUUUUGACGCUAGAGGAAGGGCCCGAAUGUCGAACGACCAGCAGAUCCACUCUGGCGAACCCGCAGCCAUGGGGUCGCGUCCGGUCAGCACCCCAGAAGAUCAUCCCCUGCGUGAUGAACUCCGAGAUGAACGCCCCGCCACAACGUCGGAGCGCUACUGGCGGCUGUUCAACGACCCGGGUUUGUCGCCACCCGAAGCCCCCGUCGGCCCCCUGCCUGUUUCGCCCGAAGCCUUCCACGAUCUCGCUCACCAAGUCCGAGCAUUGGCGGGCGUGGUGCAGACUAUCAUCCCGCUCAUCUCCCAGCCGACGCCCCCACAUGCAACCCGGCCUUUGCAACAGCGUGAGCCCCCCGCCUGGAUGCACGUGCCACUCCCCGAGCGCCCUAUUUCGCCUCGAAACCAAACAGCCCAGCUCGGGGACCGAGAGGCGGAAGGCACGACGAUCGCCCGGAGCCUGAGGUGCCAUCCGCGGACUCGACGAACGCCCUGCGAGCCCAGUAGCGCCUCUUCAAUCAAUGCCUCAACGAAGUGCAGCAGGAGGUUCGCAGGUCAAAGGGGGAGCUCGGAGCGGACGGAUACCAAGGGUCCCUGUUCGCACCCGAAAUACAAGAUCAAGUGAUUCCACCACAUUUCCGGCUCCCAUCCCUGGACGCCUAUGAUGGCGCCACUGACCCCGCGGAUCACGUAGCCGCGUUUCGCGCCCAAAUGGCGCUAUAUGAGACUUCUGACGCCUUGAUGUGCAAGGCGUUCCCAGCGACCUUGAGGGGACCGGCCCGCGCAUGGUACAACGACCUGAAGACCGGGACCAUCUCUUCCUUCGAUCAACUCGCCCGAGACUUCGAGCUCAACUUCCUCGCCUACGCCCGUCCGAAGCCGUCCGUGGCGUUGCUCCUCGGACUCAACCAAAGGGAGCACGAGCCCCUCUCCCACUUCGUGAACCGUUUUACGACGCAGAUCCGAGGGCUCUCGGAUGCUCACCCUUCUCUAUUGAUGCAGGCAUUCAUGAUAGGCCUGCGGCCCUCCAGGUUCUUCUGGUCUCUGGUGGAGCGACCUCCCACGACGGUACCCGAGAUGCUCCAACGGGCGAGCCAGUUCAUCGCCGCGGAGACGUGGAUGGCCGGGAGACGCGAGUAACACAAGAGGAUCAAGCCGGAGCCGCCUCGGCAGCAGCAACCCGCUGCGUCUCGGCGUAGGUUGGACAAAUCCGACCCGCCGGCAUCGAGGCCCCCUCUCCCAGCCUUGAACUCGUCCCGAACGGAAAUAUUCCUCCACAUAAGGGAAAAGGGACUGCUCAAAGAACCUUACCCGAUGAGGAGUCCGCGGGCGCUGGCGGACCAAUCGAAGUACUGCCGCUUCCACUGGCAACAUGAGCAUGACACUGAACAGUGUCGGGAGCUAAAGAGGCAGAUCGAGGAGCUCAUUCGUAGGGGACACCUCAACCAGUAGCUCCGACCGGACAAAGAACUCUCACCGCGCCCGGAGGGUCCCAUCGAACGACACAUCGACGUAAUAGCUGGCGGCCCCGCGUCUAGGGGGGAUUCCAUGACCAGAAGAAAGGCGUACGCCAGAGCCGCUCCGGCCGAAGCUCCCAGGCACGGGCCCGAGCCUAAUGUCACCUUCCCGGUCGAGACAUCCGAACAAACCGAACACGACGAUGCGCUCGUGAUAUCGGCCAGAAUAGCCAAUGCACAAGUAAGAAGGAUCAUGGUCGAUACCGGGAGCUCGGCCGACAUACUAUACUUCGACGCCUUCCAAAAGCUUAGCUUAUCCGGAGAUAACAUGAAGCCGAUAUUCUCGGCACUCACCGGAUUCACCGGUGAUUCAAUCUCGCCGCUAGGGGCGAUCACUUUACCCUUGACCCUAGGAGCCUCGCCGAGGUCGAAGACAGUUAUGACUACCUUCUUAGUAAUCGACCUCUCCGCUGCAUACAACGCCAUUCUCGGUCGGCCGAGCCUCAACAAAAUCAGAGCCGUCGUCUCAACCUACUACCAAACUGUGAAGUUCCCGACCCACGCUGGGACCGGAGAGGCCGUAGGAAGUCCCCGAGAAUCUCGACGCUGCUACCUGACCGUCGUUUCGUUACACAAGAGGGCCAGGGUCGAACCACCGUUGGCGGACCUUCGGGAGACGAAGAAGCCAGCCCCCCACCCUGAGCCGAGGGGGUCCACCAUCGACACGCCGCUGCUAGAGGAUCGAUCGGAGUAGACGGUUAAGAUCGGGUCGGAGCUACCCGAGCAAGAACAAAGACAGCUCGUCGGCCUCCUACAGAAGAAUGCCGACGUCUUCGCCUAGUCGCCAUCUGACAUGACGGGCGUCGACCCGGAGGUCGCCCAGCAUCACCUAAGUAUUUCACUCGACGCUCGCCCGGUAAAACAAAAACCCAGACGGCAGGCCCCUGAUCGGCAGUUGGCCAUACGAGAAGAAGUGGGUCGACUCUUAGAGGCAGGCUUCAUAGAAGAAGCCAGGUACCCGCGAUGGCUAUCCAAUGUAGUCCUCGUCAAGAAAGCUAAUGGAAGCCGGACGAUGUGCGUUGAUUACACUAGUCUCAAUAAUGCAUGCCCGAAGGACUGCUAUCCCCUUCCAAAGGUCGACCGGUUGGUCGACGCUACGGUCGGACACGCCCACCUCUCAUUUAUGGAUGCCUUCUCAAUAUAUAACCAGAUCAGAAUGGCACCCGAAGAUCAAGAGCACACGGCCUUUCUUACCGAUCAAGGGGUUUGCUUUUAUAAGGUCAUGCCCUUCGGAUUGAAGAACGGCGAGGCUACAUACCAAAGAACGGUGAACAAGAUGUUCGCCCACCAGAUCGGGCAGAACAUGGAAGUUUACGUCGACAACAUGAUUGUGAAAAGCCAAGAAGUAGGAGCUCACCUUGCCGAUAUGGCCGAGGCAUUCGCCACGCUACACAAGUUCGGCAUGCGACUCAACCCCGCGAAGUGUGCCUUUGGCGUCACCUCGGGGAAGUUCCUCGGGUUCAUUAUACACGAAAGAGGAAUUGACGCCAACCCGGAGAAAGUCCAGGCGAUCAUCAAUAUGCAAUCACCUCGGACGAUCAAAGACCUACAACGCCUUAAUGGGAGGCUCGUCGCCAUGUCCCGUUUCCUUGCCCGAUCAGGUGAUCGCUGCCUCCCCUUCUUCAGAGCAUUGAAGAACCCGAAAAAUUUUCAAUGGACAACAGAAUGCGAGGAAGCACUCAAGCAAAUGAAGCAACACUUGGCCAACCUCCCCCGACUUGCCUCAGUCUCUCCUGGGGAGAAGCUAGGCCUCUACGUGGCUGCCUCCCAGCACGCAGUCAGUUCCGUCCUGGUUAAGGAAAAUUCUGGCGAACAGCUUCCGGUCUACUAUGUCAGCCACAUCCUGAACGGGCCCGAGGAACGAUACCCACCGAUCGAGAAGCUGGCACUUGCACUCGUGCUGUCAGCCCGGAAGCUACGCCCCUACUUCCAGGCUCACCUGGUGGAGGUCUAAAUUUGAUGUUACAGGACGUCUUCUCAAAUGGGCGGUGGAGCUCGGCGAGCAUGACAUACAAUACGUGCCCAGGACCGCUAUCAAAGCCCAGUCCAUGGCCGACUUCAUCGCCGAAUUAACCCAGAUCGGGGAUGAGGGCCCCGAACAACCUCACGAAGCCUGGGUCCUGCACGUCGACGGAUCGGCCAACUCAAAAGGCGCCGGCGCGGGGCUGGUGUUGCAAGCUCCCGACGGGCGGUCGUUCGAACGUUCCCUCCGCUUCGGGUUCCAAGCCACUAACAACGAGGCGGAAUACGAGGCGCUCCUAGCAGGACUCAGGUUGGCCCUCGAGAUGCAGGUGGUCGCCAUCCGCGUCCUCACCGACUCGCAGCUGGUAGCCGACCAACUCAACGGGGGAUACGAGGCUCGGGACCCGAUCAUGGCCAAGUACCUGGCAUAGGUAAAGAAUCUAACCGCCAAAUUCCCACAUUUUACAUUGUCUAGUAUCCCGAGGGGAGAAAACGAGCGAGCCGACACGCUAGCUAAGCUGGCAUCAAAGGCAGCCCUCGAAGUCGGGUCCGAAGUCUAGGAGCUUCCCGCCCAUGCCAUCAAAGUCGCGACGGUAACCUCGGGCGACGCGCCUACCACCUGGGUACAGGAAUUGCUGCGCUUCAGACGGGACGGGACUCUUCCGCCCGACGAAGCAACGGCUCGGCGCUUGCGUCACACACAUGCGUGGUAUACUGAGGUGGGUGGACGGCUCUAUAAGCGGUCCUUCACAUACCCCCUCCUACGGUGCUUGGAGCCCGACGAAGCCCAGACGGUUCUAGCUGAGGUCCACGAGAUGGUCUGCGAGGAACACAUCGGCGGGCGAACCCUGGCACACAAAAUACUUUGCCAAGGCUACUACUGGCCAACCAUGUGCCGGGACGCGAAGGCCCACGUGCAACGGUGUAGUUCGUGCCAAAAACACGCCCGCACACCCCGGCAGCCCGCGGUCCCGCUCACCCCCAUCGACUGGGCAUGGCCAUUCGCGUAAUGGGGUCUGGACCUGCUCGGCCCUUUUCCCCCAGCCUCGGGACAGCGAAAGUACAUCGUCGUGGGCGUGGAUUACUUCACAAAGUGGGUCGAGGCCGAACCGCUGGCGACGAUCACGGAGCGGCAAAUAGAAAAGUUCGUAUGGAAGAGCCUGGUGACUCGGUUUGGCUUGCCCAAAACCAUCAUCACGGACAACGGGCCCUAGUUCGCCGGUAGAAGGUUCCGGGAGUUCUGCGCGAACCACGGGAUCUAGCUAAGGUUCAGCUCGGUGGCUUAUCCUCAUGCGAACGGGCUAAUAGAGGUAACCAAUCGAUCCAUACUAGACGGGCUCAAGAGAAGAGUGUCCACAGCCCGAUCGGCCUGGACGGACGAACUCCUGAGCAUCUUGUGGGUGCUGCGCACCACCCCCAAGACCGUGACUGGAGAGUCCCCUUACAGCCUCACGUUCAGAACCGAAGCUGUUCUGCCACCCAAGGUAGCCAUUGCCACCCUUCGGACGAGAAGCUAUGACGAGAAAGUCUCGAACGAGGGACUUCAUGCCAGCCUCGACGUGCUCGAGGAGCGACGCGCCGACGCACACUUGAAAGCCCUCUUUUACAAGAGAGCCGUCGCAAGGGUCUAUAACAAGAGAGUACGACCCCGACCGAUUAAGUUAGGCGACCUAGUCCUGCGCAAGACUGAGGUCAGCGACCCGACCCGAGCGAGGGGGAAGCUAGCCCCCAAAUGGGAGGGGUCUUAUCGAGUCAUCGAGAUAACCCGACCGGGUACAUACCGGCUCGCUACAAUGGACGGUUCUCCUUUGCCAAGAACAUGGAACGUCCAGAACCUUAAGAAGUUUUUCGUUUAAAUGAAGAAGUCGUUCAAAGAAGUUCUUCGCCCGAGGAGCAAGAAGCUUUUUUGCCGUGGCUUGAAGAAGGCAGUACAUGAGAGAAGUAAAAGUUUUCUUUUAUUCAAGAAAAAACCAACUUACAGGACUCAACUUACAGGACUCAACUCCGACUUACAGAGUUGACUAGCACCUUAGAAAACAAAAAAAUAUAUGACCCUUCCCUAUUACAAUGGAGUGUCCAGGCGAUCGUCAAAGGGGACGUCCUCGGGCAUGUCAACCUCCAGAUCCUCAGGGUGGGAAGUAAAGGGAUCCUCCUCCACCUCGAGGCCAGGGUGACGAGCA